rnacentral:rRNA from 1 species
GUCGAGAAUCUUUCACAAUGGGGGCAACCCUGAUGGAGCGACGCCGCGUGGAGGAUAAGGUCUUCGGAUUGUAAACUCCUGUCAUGCGUGAACAAGGUUGCUUGGUUAAUACCUGGGCAAAUUGAUGGUAACGCAAGAGGAAGAGACGGCUAACUCUGUGCCAGCAGCCGCGGUAAUACAGAGGUCUCAAGCGUUGUUCGGAAUCACUGGGCGUAAAGGGUGCGUAGGUGGCGUGGUAAGUCAGAGGUGAAAGCCCGGGGCUCAACCUCGGAACUGCAUCCGAUACUGCCAUGCUAGAGUACUGGAGAGGUGACUAGAAUUCUCGGUGUAGCAGUGAAAUGCGUAGAUAUCGAGAGGAAUACCAAAGGCGUAGGCAGGUCACUGGACAGUUACUGACACUGAGGCACGAAGGCCAGGGGAGCGAACGGGAUUAGAUACCCCUGUAGUCC